rnacentral:rRNA from 1 species
UACGUAGGGCGCAAGCGUUGUCCGGAAUUAUUGGGCGUAAAGAGCUCGUAGGCGGCUUGUCACGUCGGAUGUGAAAGCCCGGGGCUUAACUCCGGGUCUGCAUUCGAUACGGGCUAGCUAGAGUGUGGUAGGGGAGAUCGGAAUUCCUGGUGUAGCGGUGAAAUGCGCAGAUAUCAGGAGGAACACCGGCGGCGAAGGCGGAUCUCUGGGCCAUUACUGACGCUGAGGAGCGAAAGCGUGGGGAGCGAACAGG